ACUGCUCAGUAACACGUGGAUAACCUGCCCUUGGGUCCGGCAUAACCCCGGGAAACUGGGGAUAAUUCCGGAUAACGCAUAUGUGCUGGAAUGCUUUAUGCGUCAAAUGGAUUCGUCUGCCCAAGGAUGGGUCUGCGGCCUAUCAGGUAGUAGUGGGUGUAAUGUACCUACUAGCCGACAACGGGUACGGGUUGUGAGAGCAAGAGCCCGGAGAUGGAUUCUGAGACAUGAAUCCAGGCCCUACGGGGCGCAGCAGGCGCGAAAACUUUACAAUGCGGGAAACCGUGAUAAGGGGACACCGAGUGUCAGCAUCAUAUGCUGGCUGUCCAGGUGUGUAAAAUACACCUGUUAGCAAGGGCCGGGCAAGACCGGUGCCAGUCGCCGCGGUAACACCGGCGGCCCGAGUGGUGAUCGUGAUUAUUGGGUCUAAAGGGUCCGUAGCCGGUUUGGUCAGUCCUCCGGGAAAUCUGAUAGCUCAACUAUUAGGCUAUCGGGGGAUACUGCCAGACUUGGAACCGGGAGAGGUAAGAGGUACUACAGGGGUAGGAGUGAAAUCUUGUAAUCCCUGUGGGACCACCUGUGGCGAAGGCGUCUUACCAGAACGGGUUCGACGGUGAGGGACGAAAGCUGGGGGCACGAACCGGAUUAGAUACCCGGGUAGUCCCAGCCGUAAACGAUGCUCGCUAGGUGUCAGGCAUGGCGCGACCGUGUCUGGUGCCGCAGGGAAGCCGUGAAGCGAGCCACCUGGGAAGUACGGCCGCAAGGCUGAAACUUAAAGGAAUUGGCGGGGGAGCAC
rnacentral:rRNA from 1 species